rnacentral:misc_RNA from 1 species
GAAAUGCGAUAAUUAAUGUGAAUUGCAGAAUUCAGUGAAUCAUCGAGUCUUUGAACGCACAUUGCACCCCCUGGUAUUCCGGGGGGUAUGCCUGUCCGAGCGUCAUUGCUGCCCUCAAGCCCGGCUUGUGUGUUGGGUCCUCGUCCCCCCCCGGGGGACGGGCCCGAAAGGCAGCGGCGGCACCGCGUCCGGUCCUCGAGCGUAUGGGGCUUUGUCACACCGCUCUCGUAGGCCCGACCGGCGCUGGCCGACGCUGAAAAGCAACCAUUAUUUCUCCAGGUUGACCUCGGAUCAGGUAGGGAUACCCGCUGAACUUAAGC